rnacentral:misc_RNA from 1 species
AACAUCGCGCACCUGCGGGAACCUGCGGAAGGAUCAUUACCGAGUUAGGGUCUUCCUGGCCCGACCUCCAACCCUUUGUUUACUAUACCCAUGUUGCUUUGGCGGGCCUGCCUUUCGGGGCUGCCGGGGGCAUCACUGCCCUUGACCUGUGCCUGCCAGGAGCCUUCUUUAAAUUUUGUGUUCAACUGUGUUGUCUGAGUCCCAAUAUCAAAAUAUAAAAAACUUUUAGCAAUGGAUCUC